UCUUAUCUUUGUUCUGUAAUGAUAAGUGAGCAAAUCUAGACCAUUUCGAUAUUAGUUUGGUUUCUAGCUUAAAAUGACGAAAAUAAUACUAUCGGUGCUUUGCCUGGCUGUUGUUCAAACCAGCAUCAGAGGAAGUCAGAAGCAGACUCGGAUGCUGCUAGAAGAAUAUAGUCUGGAGGAUAUUGUCAACAAGUUGAAUAAUUUGACUUCGAGAGUUGAAAAAUGCGAAGCAGUCAUCAAACACGGACCGGUAGCAUUCAAAGCGCAUUUACAAAAAGUGUGUCACCUGGAGCAAACGAGCGGAUCUUUUUCGAUGACGUCAGGCUUAACUUGGGCGGCGCUUACCAUGCACAUCUCGGUGGGUUCGUGACCCCAUACAAUGGGACCUAUCUGUUCUCCGUGUCUGUCUGCUCGACAUCCGGUCACUACAUUGUGUUAGACCUUAUGAGGAACAGCGAUGUUAUUGGUCGGAUUUUGGCGGGAGAUACGCAAUAUGACGACUGUUCAUCCGAAACUACGGUCGCGGAACUACGUGCUGGAGAUGACGUAUUCGUUCAACAUCAUCUCAAUACUGGCGACUAUAUCCAUUAUCAACAACACACGGUUAAUAGUUUCACUGGAACACUUCUGCAGACAAUGUAGCUGAAAAUAUAGGAAAACAUGGGUCAGGAACAUACUUUUUAGGGAGAGCUUUCGAAAAUAUAGGUGGAUCGUCCUGCGUCAACAAUUUUUUCCUUCACAUCAAUGAAACUGAUGAUUAGAAUAGCACUUUACUUGGUCAGAGACAUCUUGAUAUAAAGUCCGCAUAACUCUCUCAAAUUCGUUUAUGUGGUUCCGUUUGGCUGCAUUUAAGGAAAUAGAAAAAGAAACUUUCAAAGACUUCUUCUCAUUUUGGUCUAAACGUCACAUGAAUUGGAGGAUGGAUCUGUACCAGAGUUGCUCUGCGCCAUCGUUGGAUAAUCUUUCUUUCAAAUCUGUUCACGAAUCCUUAGCAAAGUUGGUCUAAGCAUCUUUGUAUUCACCUUUUUCACGUUUGAUAUAUUAGUUCCCUUUGACAUUUUUCAUCGGUUGCAGGAGCUGAAAUAGGAAAAGAAAUCCUCAAAAGUGAACAUAAUAUGACUUAUUAUCAACUUGUUCUAUGGGCGUUCACCAAACUUAGUCUGUGGCAUUCUGGGAUGAACUUUUCUCAUAGUUGUUCAAACAAUUUUAUCUGACUGUACUUAGUUGCGCCACAGCUAAAAACAAACCCCUGAUCAUAAAUUAGUGGACGGAUCUUCGUUAAACUUGGUCUGUAUCAUCCUUGAAUGACCUUUUCUCAAAUUUUUAUAAAUAGUUUCACCUGACUGUAUUCAGGAACCGACAGAGCUAUAAUAGGAAUUUUGCAUGAACCGCUUGAUGGAUACUUAAGCCUGUAGUGUGACUGAUUGGUGCUUUCUCAAGUGUGUUCAAAUAGUUUGGCUUUUACCGCACUACGGGUCGCUAGAGCUAAAAACGUUUUAAAAUUUAAACUUUUAAUGACGCCUUCACAUGUACCCGGCUUGAUAGAUGUUCACCAAACUUUUGUAUGUCACAUCAUUGGAUAAACUUUCUCAAGUUUGUUCAACUGGUUCUACUGGACUGUUUUAAAUAAAGGGACUACCCGUGCUAAAAUUAAAAACUAUUUACAUAACUUUUCUUACGAGCCCAUUGAGGGAUGGUCACCAAACUUGCUUUCUUAGUAGCCUUGGAUGACCCUCUCUGAAAUUUAUAAAAACAGUUCCGCUUGACGGCACAGAGGCCACAAAGCAAGAUAUAUAACUUCUUAUCAAACUUGGUCAGAAUCAUCCUUGCUUAGACCUUUUCAUGUUUAUACGAAUUGUUUCGCACUUAGGGACCACAAAAAGCAUUCAGGUGAGCGUUUCUCGCGAACCGCUGAAUGGAUGUACAUCAAACUUGUUCAGAAGAACAGCCAAAAGAAACAGGUCAGGUGAGUGACUUAGUUUCUCAUGGCUCUCUUGUCUUAUUUAGCAGCGGUUACGACCAAAAAGAAUAUGAUUACAAUUGAUUUCCCAUGGCGUUUACGUUUAAAACGUCAUUCAAUACAUCGGCCAGGCAAAAAUGUUUCGAGGACCAUGGCCGUGAUAAAUUUUUUCGUAAAACUUUGUACGUGACUGACCCAGCUGUUUUAGAGGAAAAGUAUUAUGAAAAAUGA
rnacentral:lncRNA from 1 species